rnacentral:misc_RNA from 1 species
UCCGGCUUGUCACCGGCAGUUCCUCCAGAGUGCCCAACCCAAUGCUGGCAACUGGAGGCGAGGGUUGCGCUCGUUGCGGGACUUAACCCAACAUCUCACGACACGAGCUGACGACAGCCAUGCAGCACCUGUGCGCCACGCCCCUUGCGGGGAACGCCCUAUCUCUAGGGUUGUCAGAGGAUGUCAAGACCUGGUAAGGUUCUUCGCGUUGCUUCGAAUUAAACCACAUGCUCCACUGCUUGUGCGGGCCCCCGUCAAUUCCUUUGAGUUUCAGCCUUGCGGCCGUACUCCCCAGGCGGAGUGCUUAAUGUGUUAACUGCGGCACUAAAGGUAUCGAAACCCCUAACACCUAGCACUCAUCGUUUACGGCGUGGACUAC